rnacentral:rRNA from 1 species
CAGUCCCACGGGAAUACGAAGGGUGCAAGCGUUACUCGGAAUUACUGGGCGUAAAGCGUGCGUAGGCGGUUAUAUAAGACAGAUGUGAAAUCCCCGGGCUCAACCUGGGAACUGCAUUUGUGACUGUAUAGCUAGAGUACGGCAGAGGGGGAUGGAAUUCCGCGUGUAGCAGUGAAAUGCGUAGAUAUGCGGAGGAACACCGAUGGCGAAGGCAAUCCCCUGGGCCUGUACUGACGCUCAUGCACGAAAGCGUGGGGAGCAAACAGGAUUAGAUACCCCCGUAGUCCCUGUCUCUUAUACA